rnacentral:rRNA from 4 species
GGUUAAGUUAAUAAGGGCGCAC